CUCCCUAUGGCUCAGUUGGUAGAGCAUGGUGUAUGCAACGCCAGGGUUGUGGGUUCGAUUCCCACGGGGGGC
rfam:Salmo salar isolate Sally breed double haploid chromosome ssa02, whole genome shotgun sequence.